UGCGGGAUCGUCUAAUGGUAGGACAUCGCCCUUUGGAGGCGAGUAUCUUGGUUCGAGUCCAAGUCCCGCAGCAA
rnacentral:tRNA from 2 species